rnacentral:ncRNA from 1 species
CACCGUGAUGUGAAAUCUGAAGGAAGCCGGAUUGAGGGAUGAAAAGUUGCUGAUGGGCAAAAUUCCGGACCGACGGACAGAAAUCACAUAUAAGGCCGUAAUAGGCGGACGACUCUGCAAGACAAGAAGAAGUCCAAUACUACCCGAACCUAUUGCAGUAGAUACGGCGGUUACGGAAGGAAGGUUAUC